GAUGAACGCUGGCGGCGUGCCUAAUACAUGCAAGUCGAGCGAAUGGAUUAAGGGCUUGCUCUUAUGAAGUUAGCGGCGGACGGGUGAGUAACACGUGGGUAACCUGCCCACAAGACUGGGAUAACUCCGGGAAACCGGGGCUAAUACCGGAUAACAUUUUGAACCGCAUGGUUCGAAAUUGAAAGGCGGCUUCGGCUGUCACUUAUGGACGGACCCGCGUCGCAUUAGCUAGUUGGUGAGGUAACGGCUCACCAAGGCAACGAUGCGUAGCCGACCUGGGAGGGUGAUCGGCCACACUGGGACUGAGACACGGCCCAGACUCCUACGGGAGGCAGCAGUAGGGAAUCUUCCGCAAUGGACGAAAGUCUGAAGGAGCAACGCCGCGUGAGUGAUGAAGGCUUUCGGGUCGUAAAACUCUGUUGUUAGGGAAGAACAAGUGCUAGUUGAAUAAGCUGGCACCUUGACGGUACCUAACCAGAAAGCCACGGCUAACUACGUGCCAGCCGCCGCGGUAA
rnacentral:rRNA from 1 species